rnacentral:lncRNA from 1 species
AGAGCGGUUACAUGUAAGAUCAUAUGAUUUAAAAUUUAAAUAACCUUAGCCUUUUAAUCAAAGGUUUACCAAUAAUUAUUAUUGGUUUUAGAACCACGCACUUUGACUGCUGAGGAAGACUGACCUCAACCUAGUUUCUUUUUACUUAGAUCAAGGCCAAUCUUAGUCCCGGAAGCAUCUUUACUUCCAUCUUUGCUGCUUCGUGGGGCUUCAACACCAAAGGCAAGAUGUUAAUAACCAGAACUCAAAUUAAGGUUAAUUUACUCUUACUACCUGUUGCGGGAUGUACCAUGCUAGCUGCAACACCAAAGGCA